UAGUUCAGCUGGUUAGAAUG
rnacentral:misc_RNA from 1 species